rnacentral:piRNA from 1 species
UGACAGAGACAACACCUGCGGGCCC